GGAGCCGAGCGGCGACACAGGCUUAUGGGCGACCGGUGUCCCACGCAGCUGCCCCUGGGGAGGUGCGGAGCCGGCUCUGGAGCUGCUCGGGCUGCGCGGGGCGAUACGGCCUCUCUCACGGGAACUGGUCCACCUGGUGGCGAGACUGAAUUCUUUGCAGCGCUGGGUCUGCGUUAGGAUUGUAGUCCGUUUUGGGGUGUGCUGGACGGAGAAGGGAGAUUUUCAUCAGAAACGGCGCUUUUGCUAUUCCCAUCUUCUGUGACUCACGAGGUUUGGAAAGGAAGCACUACCGUUUGAGCAGCGACCAUUUGUGUUAAUCCCCUGGAUUAGGAAUUGAAUAUGACAAAGCUUGGAAGCUUUCCGCGUCACUGCCUUCUGCCGAGAACUCCGUUUCCUGUAUCUGCUGAAUCUCGGAAACCCCGACUGAAAAAAGAUUGGGCUGCCAGUAAAGAUGGUACAGUAAACUCAACUUUUGGCCACUCCUACUCCAGAUUCAGAGCAAUGAAGAAUAGAAAAUCUCAAGAGUUUCCUAUUUUGGAGAAGCAGAACUGGCUGAUACAUCUUCACUAUAUCCGGAAGGAUUAUGAAGCAUGCAAGGCUGUUAUCAAAGAGCAGCUUCAGGUGACUCAGGGGCUAUGUGAAUAUGCUAUCUAUGUCCAAGCAUUAAUAUUUCGCCUGGAAGGAAACAUCCAAGAAUCCCUAGAACUCUUUCAGACGUGUGUUGCUCUCAGCCCUCAGUGUGCUGAUAACCUCAAGCAGGUGGCCAGAUCGUUAUUUCUUUUGGGAAAACAUAAAGCUGCCAUUGAAGUUUAUAAUGAAGCCGCUAAACUUAACCAGAAAGAUUGGGAGAUCUGUCACAACCUAGGAGUUUGCUACAUUUAUCUGAAACAGUUCAAAAAGGCGCAGGAACAGCUGCACUGUGCCCUGCAUCUCAACAGGCAUGACUUGACUUACGUCAUGCUGGGGAAGACCCACAUUCUGGAGGGAGACUUGGACAAGGCCAUCGAAAUCUACAAGAAGGCAGUAGAGUUCUCACCAGAGAAUACAGAACUUCUUACGACUUUGGGAUUACUCUACUUACAGCUCGGCAUUUACCAGAAGGCCUUCGAACAUCUUGGAAAUGCACUGACCUACGACCCUACCAACUACAAGGCCAUCUUGGCAGCAGGCAGCACGAUGCAGACCCACGGGGACUUCGAUGUUGCCCUCACCAAGUACAGAGUUGUAGCUUGUGCCGUUCCAGAAAGUCCUCCACUCUGGAAUAAUAUCGGAAUGUGUUUCUUUGGCAAGAAGAAAUACGUGGCGGCUAUCAGCUGCCUGAAACGAGCCAACUACUUGGCACCCUUCGAUUGGAAGAUUCUGUAUAACUUGGGUCUUGUCCACUUAACCAUGCAGCAGUAUGCGUCAGCGUUCCAUUUCCUCAGUGCGGCCAUCAACUUCCAGCCAAAGAUGGGGGAGCUCUACAUGCUCCUGGCCGUGGCUCUGACCAAUCUGGAAGACCCAGAGAACGCCAAGAGAGCCUACGAGGAAGCCGUCCGCCUGGAUAAGUCUAACCCGUUAGUGAACCUGAACUACGCUGUGCUGCUGUACAACCAGGGCGAGAAGAAGGGCGCGCUGGCCCAGUAUCAGGAGAUGGAGAAGAAGGUCCGCCUGCCGCAGGACAGCAGCUCUCUGGAAUUUGACUCCGAGACAGGAUUCCAGCUGCACUCCCCAGUGGAAGAGACGGGUGGGCUUCACUCUGCCGGUGACAUCUGUGGCUCUUCUUUCUUCCCAUGUGGGCACAAGAUGGUGGACAUGGCCCAGAAGCUGGGAGCUGCCCUCCAGGUCGGGGAGGCACUGGUCUGGACGAAGCCAGUUAAAGAUACCAAGUCAAAGCACCGGACCACUUCAGCCAGCAAAGCCGCCAGUCUCCAGCAGCCUCUGGGCUCUAAUCAGGCUCUAGGACAGGCAAUGUCCUCAGCAGCUGCAUACAGGAAGCUCCCCUCAGGUGCUGCAGGAACAGCCCACCGCACAGAGCCGCCAUCUCCUCCUCUGGGGCCGGAGCCCACUGUGGAAGCGCAUCCAAAUGAAGCAUCAGCACAAAUAAGGGAAAAAUAGGAGUAGGAUGACCCCAGAGUAGGGGUUUCUCUGGCGAGGAGGCAGCACAUUAGGCGAGGUCACGGAACACAGGCAGCACGGACGCCGGCGUGUUCCUGGGCACCAAGGAACGCAGGAUGUGCCGUGAUGAUCCCGAGGAGCCUCUCAUCAGCCGGCCCCAGACAGGUCCUUUCAGAACAGGGAGGGGUCACAGAUGAAGAGCCUGAGGCAGCUUUGCAGGCCCAGAGGCUGCUACGAGCCAGGUAUGAAACGAUCACCCCUGACCUAAGCGGGCCUGGCACCUGCUGCCACAUUUAUACUGUUCUUUGAACACUGAGAAGGCUCACCAAACACUUCAAACUGCUGUUUCAUAGUGGCUUCGCUACUUGAAACUAGUGUCUUCUGUCGCCUUAAACCAACAGCAAACAGACUUACAGCUUAGGCUCAGGGUGCGGGACCGCCUACCUGGUGAUGGGAAGACAACAUAAUCCAACGCCUCAAGAGCAGAGGAACCUACAGCUCACACCUUCGUCAAGGUCAGAAUGAUUCAUACUUUAUCUGGCUCCACAGUGGUGGUGAAAGAAACAAAAUCACAGACUUACAUAUCCUGAAAUGUAAAUUAUUUUUAAUAUAUUUAAAAGCACACAGAAGGUCUCCUUGAUUUAUAAAAAAAUAAAUACAUAACAUGACAGAUUUAUUCAUGAUCCUGGGGCUCUUAAUGAGGUAAAACUUUUUAACGUAUGUGGUGUGUCAAUGUAAAACACACAUGAUCUGUUACACACACACACAGAAGCAUAUUCCAGUUGCAAAUGCAAAUUCCUUCAAGGAUCCGAAUGAACAAAGAUGAGUCCUCCACUGUGGAAAGUGUGCCCAGAGCUGGGGGAUGAGACUGGGCCUCUGACCAGCCAGGCUCCGAACACAUGCAGAGCGCGGCCUCCCUCAAAGGCUGCCCAGGGCCCCCCGCCUCUGCUGUGACUGCGAUGCU